AAUCAGAGUCCACAUAUGUUCGGGGGAGGGACCCCAGAAGGCGGCUGACAGUAUUCCUUUAGCCAGAAAUCCCUUCAGGGAAGAGAAAGGUGCUCCCCUUUGCCUGCUUUUAUACUACAGACUGUUUCCAACUCCAGCUAGAAGUGACUAUUGCCGAUUAUGCUAAUCAGUGGCGACAAGCUCCCUUUGACUGCUCACUUCUCCAGUGAGGCUUCAAGCUUCUAGGCAUCAAGAUUAUAUUUUCCAGAAAAUAUUUCAAGCAGAAUAUACUUAUUUUCCAGUUUUGAAAACAACUAGAUUGCCCAUCUCCAUUUCUCUCUAUCAUCUACUGUAUUAUUCUAUGGACAACUGCCACCCUAAUAAGGUCAAGAAGGGAAGCCAGAAGUCAAGGCCACAGAAGACACAGGAAACAUCAUUUCCAAAGUGGGAGACAAAGCUGUUAACAGGAAAUUAUUUGUAAAGUCAAGAGCCAAGCAAAACAGAAAAAGGACAAGAAAUCUAUCACCUGUGGGUAUGAAUGGUUCUAGGGAAGUCUGUUGACAAUUGGAGGGUCUCAAAGGCGCUUUAUGGUACUUAUUUUAUGACCCUGAGUCUGGAGUCUGAUGAAUUAAAGAGGAAAUUCUGCUCUGGGCAACAUUUAAGAGAUAGUAUCUCCAGGCAGUAACUUUCGUAUUAACUCUCAUAAGAUUGAUGCCAUUCUGUCAUCUAAAGUGUGGACAAAAGUAGCAUUAAAGCAAAAUGAAAGGAU
rnacentral:lncRNA from 1 species